rnacentral:rRNA from 1 species
CGCUAGCUACAGGCUUAACACAUGCAAGUCGAGGGGCAGCAUGGUCUUAGCUUGCUAAGGCCGAUGGCGACCGGCGCACGGGUGAGUAACGCGUAUCCAACCUGCCUUACACUCUUGGACAGCCUUCUGAAAGGGAGAUUAAUACAAGAUGUUAUCAUGAGUAAGCAUUUUCGCAUGAUUAAAGGUUUACCGGUGUAAGAUGGGGAUGCGUUCCAUUAGAUAGUAGGCGGGGUAACGGCCCACCUAGUCUUCGAUGGAUAGGGGUUCUGAGAGGAAGGUCCCCCACAUUGGAACUGAGACACGGUCCAAACUCCUACGGGAGGCAGCAGUGAGGAAUAUUGGUCAAUGGACGAGAGUCUGAACCAGCCAAGUAGCGUGAAGGAUGAAGGUUCUAUGGAUUGUAAACUUCUUUUAUACGGGAAUAAACGAAUCCACGUGUGGAUUUUUGCAUGUACCGUAUGAAUAAGGAUCGGCUAACUCCGUGCCAGCAGCCGCGGUAAUACGGAGGAUCCGAGCGUUAUCCGGAUUUAUUGGGUUUAAAGGGAGCGUAGAUGGGUUGUUAAGUCAGUUGUGAAAGUUUGCGGCUCAACCGUAAAAUUGCAAUUGAUACUGGCAGUCUUGAGUACAGUUGAGGUAGGCGGAAUUCGUGGUGUAGCGGUGAAAUGCUUAGAUAUCACGAAGAACUCCGAUUGCGAAGGCAGCUUACUAACCUGUAACUGACAUUGAUGCUCGAAAGUGUGGGUAUCAAACAGGAUUAGAUACCCUGGUAGUCCACACGGUAAACGAUGAAUACUCGCUGUAGGCGAUAUACAGUCUGCGGCCAAGCGAAAGCAUUAAGUAUUCCACCUGGGGAGUACGCCGGCAACGGUGAAACUCAAAGGAAUUGACGGGGGCCCGCACAAGCGGAGGAACAUGUGGUUUAAUUCGAUGAUACGCGAGGAACCUUACCCGGGCUUAAAUUGCAACCGAAUAUGGCGGAAACGCUAUAGCUAGCAAUAGCGGUUGUGAAGGUGCUGCAUGGUUGUCGUCAGCUCGUGCCGUGAGGUGUCGGCUUAAGUGCCAUAACGAGCGCAACCCUUGCCGAUAGUUACUAACAGGUCAUGCUGAGGACUCUGUCGGGACUGCCAUCGUAAGAUGUGAGGAAGGUGGGGAUGACGUCAAAUCAGCACGGCCCUUACGUCCGGGGCUACACACGUGUUACAAUGGGGGGUACAGAGGGCUGCUACCACGCAAGUGGAUGCCAAUCCCAAAAACCUCUCUCAGUUCGGAUUGAAGUCUGCAACCCGACUUCAUGAAGCUGGAUUCGCUAGUAAUCGCGCAUCAGCCACGGCGCGGUGAAUACGUUCCCGGGCCUUGUACACACCGCCCGUCAAGCCAUGGGAGCCGGGGGUACCUGAAGUGCGUAACCGCAAGGAGCGCCCUAGGGUAAAACUGGUGACUGGGGC